GCCCGGGUGGCGGAAUCGGUAGACGCGCUAGUUUCAGGGACUAGUAACCGCAAGGUUGUGCAAGUUCGAGCCUUGUCCCGGGCA
rnacentral:tRNA from 1 species